AGGUAAACCAAAAUACAUCCCUACAAUACAUGCAUUAGCUGGUUCUAAGUCUCUUUGUAAAAUAGCAAGCUCAGCUUUGUAGUUCUUAUUCAUAUUCAUACAAUUUAUAUUUUCUCCUAACAAGGAAUUGCAUAAACUUCUACCAUUCCUCUACCAAAGAAGUAUUGUCUCAAUGAAGAUUGUAAAGUGUUUGGCAAGAGAAGAUAACUAGCCAGCCAACUUAAGCAUGUUUAAUCCUAAGGAGAGAGGAAAAAAGGGAAAGGAAUGUCAAAAGAUCAGUACUGAGUCCUAACUCUUUUGAAGUACACAAG
rnacentral:lncRNA from 1 species